ACAAAGAUUGAAGUCGACCAUUCAAAAAUGGAUCUCCAAAGGAUAAUCCUCCAAAAGUGAACUCUUGAAAGCCAAACUCCCAAAGGUUGAUCUCCCAAAGCCAAGCUCUUAGAAGUCAAAAUGAAAAGACUGAUUUAAGAACGCCAACUAAUAAAGGUGAACUAGAGGCAAAUUGACUAAAAUAGAAUAACAUGACUCUAAUCAUCUAUUAUCUUCUUUACUUCAAAGCUUGACUUAAGAAUCAAAAGGCCCAGCCAGAGCUGAUCCGAUGAGUUCUCUCAUUCUUUAUGCAGAUCUGCAACUUAAUGAUCCGAUAACACUCCUUACCCAU
rnacentral:lncRNA from 1 species